GAUGAACGCUGGCGGCGUGCUUAACACAUGCAAGUCGAACGGGAAACCUUUUAAUGACGCUUCGGCCGAUUUAGCUGGUUUCUAGUGGCGGACGGGUGAGUAACGCGUGGGUAACCUGCCUUAUACAGGGGGAUAACAGUCAGAAAUGACUGCUAAUACAGCAUAAGCGCACAGGACCGCAUGGUCCGGUGUGAAAAACUCCGGUGGUAUAAGAUGGACCCGCGUUGGAUUCGCUUGUUGGUGGGGUAACGGCUCACCAAGGCGACGAUCCAUGGCCGGCCUGGGAGGGUGGACGACCACGGUGGGACUGUGACACGGCCCAGACUACGACGGGAGGCAGCAGUGGGGAAUAGUGCACAAUGGGGGAAACCCUGAAGCAGCGAUGCCGCGUGAAGGAAGAAGUAUCUCGGGAUGUAAACUUCUAUCAGCGGGGAAGAUAGUGACGGUACCUGACGAAGAAGCCCCGGCUAACUACGUG
rnacentral:rRNA from 1 species